UUAUGGCCAUAUCACGUUGAAACACCGACUCCCGUACGAUCAUCGAUGUUAAGCAAUGUUGAGCCUGGUCACUAUUUCGACGGGUGACCGCUUGGGAAUAAUAGGUGCUGUAAG